rnacentral:rRNA from 1 species
UUACCAGCACCUCGGGUGGGCACUCUAAGGAGACUGCCGGUGACAAACCGGAGGAAGGUGGGGAUGACGUCAAGUCAUCAUGGCCCUUACGGCCAGGGCUACACACGUGCUACAAUGGUCGGUACAAAGGGUUGCCAAGCCGCGAGGUGGAGCUAAUCCCAUAAAACCGAUCGUAGUCCGGAUCGCAGUCUGCAACUCGACUGCGUGAAGUCGGAAUCGCUAGUAAUCGUGAAUCAGAAUGUCACGGUGAAUACGUUCCCGGGCCUUGUACACACCGCCCGUCACACCAUGGGAGUGGGUUGCUCCAGAAGUAGCUAGUCUAACCGCAAGGGGGACGGUUACCCCCGGAAGAUUAAACUUUUCCCU